UACGUAGGGCGCAAGCGUUGUCCGGAAUUAUUGGGCGUAAAGAGCUCGUAGGCGGUUUGUCGCGUCUGCUGUGAAAACCUCAGGCUCAACCCGGGGCUUGCAGUGGGUACGGGCAGACUAGAGUGCGGUAGGGGUGACUGGAAUUCCUGGUGUAGCGGUGGAAUGCGCAGAUAUCAGGAGGAACACCGAUGGCGAAGGCAGGUCACUGGGCCGCAACUGACGCUGAGGAGCGAAAGCAUGGGGAGCGAACAGG
rnacentral:rRNA from 1 species